CGGACGGGUGAGUAACGCGUGGGUAACCUGCCUCAUACAGGGGGAUAACAGUUAGAAAUGACUGCUAAUACCGCAUAAGCGCACGAGAUCGCAUGAUAAAGUGUGAAAAACUCCGGUGGUAUGAGAUGGACCCGCGUCUGAUUAGCUGGUUGGCGGGGUAACGGCCCACCAAGGCGACGAUCAGUAGCCGGCCUGAGAGGGUGAACGGCCACAUUGGGACUGAGACACGGCCCAAACUCCUACGGGAGGCAGCAG
rnacentral:rRNA from 1 species